rnacentral:rRNA from 1 species
AGAGUUGAUUAUGGCUCAGGACGAACGCUGGCGGCAUGCCUAACACAUGCAAGUCGAACGGAAGUAGCAAUACUUUAGUGGCGAACGGGUGAGUAACACGUGAGCAACCUGCCCUAUACAACGGGAUAACACAGAGAAAUUUGUGCUAAUACGGUAUAAGACCACAGUAUCGCAUGAUACAGGGGUAAAAGAUUUAUCGGUAUAGGAUGGGCUCGCGACCCAUUAGCUAGUUGGUGAGGUAACGGCCCACCAAGGCAACGAUGGGUAGCCGACCUGAGAGGGUGAUCGGCCACACUGGGACUGAGACACGGCCCAUACUCCUACGGGAGGCAGCAGUGGGGAAUAUUGGGCAAUGGAGGAAACUCUUACCCACCAAUGCCGCGUGAAUGAAGAAGGUCUUCGGAUUGUAAAGUUCUUUAAUUGGGGACGAAAAAAAUGACGGUACCCAAAGAAUAAGCCCCGGCUAACUACGUGCCAGCAGCCGCGGUAAUACAUAGGGGGCAAGCGUUGUCCGGAAUG